UACGGAGGAUCCGAGCGUUAUCCGGAUUUAUUGGGUUUAAAGGGUGCGUAGGUGGGCUGAUAAGUCAGCGGUGAAAGUUUGUCGCUCAACGAUAAAAUUGCCGUUGAAACUGUUAGUCUUGAGUAUGUUUGAGGUAGGCGGAAUGCGUGGUAUAGCGGUGAAAUGCAUAGAUAUCACGCAGAACUCCGAUUGCGAAGGCAGCUUACUAAGCCAUAACUGACACUGAGGCACGAAAGCGUGGGGAUCAAACAGGAUUAGAUACCCCGGUA
rnacentral:rRNA from 1 species